CAACGAGCUCCGGGUUAUAAACACCCAAUCUGCCUAUCGUGAUCGCAACAUUCUCAAGUACUGUAGUGUUCGAUUUUUUAGAUUUGAGGAUACAGAUCAAUCUCUCCAAUAACGGCUUUACCCAUUGUUGCAUGUCUUUUCCUAAUUGCAAAGCCAUUUCGCCAGCUGACCAAAUAGCGUUGUUCGAUGCACUCACAUGUAACAAAGGAAGUUGCAUUUGGGGAAGCAUAUCCACCAAUAAAGCAUCACAAUACGGGCGUAUUUGGUCAAAGCAGUACAUACACAUAUCUCCCAACAAAGCAUAAGCAGAUUGACGAACUUCCGGCACCUCAUCCUUGGCACAAAUGCCAAUGAUUUGACCGAGUGGUGGGUCAGCUUGCGCAAGCAAAGGACUAACUUGACUACCCAAAGCUUGUAUAAUUCCACUAACCAAAUCCAAUGUAGUAACAAGGAAAUCCCUAUCUGGAACGUCAACUGUAGGAUCAUUUUGUGCAGUAGUGAUUAGGUAUAAGGUGUUGCGAAGAAUUCGGAACGUGCGUGCAUACGUUUCAGCUGC